UUUGCAUUGUUUACUUUUCACCCUUUCUCC
rnacentral:piRNA from 1 species